AUAAAUUUAAAAUAUAAUGGUAAAUUUAUCUUUAGCCUAGAAAUACAAUAUCAAAUGUCAAUUAAAUAAGCCUUUUGUGAAACCCUAGCAACCAAGAGUGCUUCCUAUAGUGUCCUGGAGAAGGCAGUAGUAUUGCAGCUUAGGAUAAAGGAAAGUGGUGGUGACGUUGGGGUAGGGAGAGAUGAGAUCGGGCUUUUAGCUGAAGAACUCCUUCAACUCUCAGUCAAAGGAUCGAUGGUGGUGCCGAGUGAGAAGUCUAAUCUGAUCUGCACAAUUUAGACUGAAAAAUUGUAUAAUCAAUAUAGUUUGAAAGCACAAAUGAGGAGUAUAUGGAAUACAAGAAAGAAAUUUGAGUUUCAGACGGUAGGGCAGAAUUUGUUCUUAACUGAAUUUGAUCUUGAAGAGGAUCUGGAGACAAUAAUGGAGGGGAGACCAUGGCUUUUCAUUAAGAGUCUUAUUUUAUUUAAUAGGUUAUCUUAACCAGUAGAAAGAACUAAGAUUUGGCUUAUUUCUUCUCUUUUUUGGUUGAAAAUAGGGGCGUGUUUACCAGAGUACGACAAAAAAGAUCUGUUGCAUGCAAUUGGAGUCAAAUUUGGAGGUUUAAUAAGAUCCGAGAUCAAUGGUGAGGUGUGUCGUCUUAGGAUCAAUUUAAAUGUACAGAAGUCGCUUCGACGAGGUAUUUUUGUCUCAAUUAAUAAUAUGACUAAGUCAUGGAUCCCUUUUAAGUAUGAAAGUUUACCAAUGUUUUGCUUUGGUUGUGGACGAAUGGGGCAUAGCUUUAAAAAAUGCUCAGUGCUAACUCCAACAGAAAUAAGUAAAAUAGGUGAUGAUUCACCUUACACACUAGCUUCGAAAGCAGAAUCUAAUUUAAUUGGGAAGGAAUGUGUGAAAUUUAGAGCGAUUUUAAAGAGAGAAGGGGCUCAAUGCUCGUAUAUAGGAGAGGAAGAAUCGGUUCUAAGAAGGGCAGUACGCAUAAAGAAGGAAUAAAUAUGAAUGGGAUGCAAAUAACGAAGCUCAAUGGAAAUGGUAAAAAGGACGAUAUGGAAUAAGAGGACACAUCAAUAGCUAAGGAUGAUGACCAGCUGGUGGACAAUAAAUAUCAGUCGGGUAAUGAAUCAUGCUCAUCUAAAAAGAAAGGAUGGAGAAGAAUCGGUCCAAUGGCUACUUUGAUAUAAAGCAGGGAGGUUAAUAAUAAGAGGAAAAGGAAAUUUAUGGAGGAAGAAUGUGUAGUCUGGUGUUUGGAUGGUGGACAAGCAGAGGGAGUUAAAAGAGCGAGAUGGGAGAGUUUAGAGGAAGGUGGGGAAGUCUGGCCUCAAGUAAUGAAUGAGAUCACGGAGGAGAAUAAUCUUUCUGAAUGCACAAAAUCGACGGCUGCCAACUGGCAAGCCGACCGGAAGCCAUGAAACACAUUAGUUGGAAUGUCCGUGAGAUUGGGGAAUCCACGGAUAAUAAGAAGGUUGCGAUAUUUUCUAAAGUAGCAUAAUCCCCAUAUAGUCUUCUUAAUGGAGACAAAAAUUAACAAGCAACGCUUGGAGAUGGUCAGGAGAGGUUAGGGUUUUUUUAAUGGUAUCAUGUUGAAGCGGAAGGUUCGAGAGGUGGAUUAAGUCUAGCGUGGAAAGGUGAUAUUGCAGUUACUUUGAGGAGUUUUUCUAAACAUCAUAUUGAUGUCAUGGUUAAGAAGGACGAUGACAAAGAAGAAUGGAGAUUGACAGGUUUCUAUGGCUCACCUUAUGUUCAAGAUAAGAGUGUUUCUUAGGACUUACUAAGGAAACUAGGACAAGAUAAAAAUCAUCCAUGGUUAGUAUGUGGAGAUUUCAACGAAAUAUUGUACUCGUUUGAAAAAAGAAGAGGGGUACCAAGGGAGGAGCGAAGAAUGAAGGUUUUUCGGGAAACUUUAGAAGUGUGCCAACUAGUAGAUUUGGGAUUUAAGGGAACUUGGUAUACAUGGGAAAGAAGGAAUUUGCCAAAAACUAAUAUAAGAGAAAGACUUGAUAGAGAAGUUGUAAAUGAUAAAUAAAUGCAUAUCUUUCCAACAGGUAAUAUUUGACAUUUACCUCAUUCAAUAUCGAAUCAUUAUCCACUCCUUUUAAAUACAAAAGGGGAAAUAAGUAUAUGGGAAUUCCAAGAUUUAAAUUUGAAGUAUGGUAGACUCUAGAAGAGACAAUGGAAGUAGUAGUUAAAGAUUCAUGGGAAUCAACCAGGGGUACAAUAGUGGAGAAGUUGGAACGGCUACAAAUAGACCUGAAAGAUUGGGAGUGAACAAUUAAAGAAGGGAGGGACGGAUUAAAGAAAAAUCUUACAAGGGAUCUUGAGAUGAUGUUGGCGGAGGAACAAAGUGACGAAAUGAUUGCCAAAAUUAUAGAUACAAAAAUUUCUCUUAAUUUAGGAAUUAACAAAGAUGAGAUUUAUUGGGAAUAAAGGGCAAGAGCAAACUGGCUUCAAACAGGUGAUAAGAAUUCAGCCUUUUUUCAUAGAUUUGCUUCUUAUCGUCGACGAGUGAAUAUAAUCAAUGUGUUGGAGACAGAGGAGGGAGGAGAGGCUACAGAUUCUAACAAGAUUAGUGAAGUGGCUACUCUAUUUUCUAAAAGCUAUUCAAGACAAAUGGUGUCGGAGAUUCAUCUCAUCUUUUAACAGGCAUUGAAAGUAGGGUUUCAACAGAGGUCAAUGAUGCUCUAUUAUCAACUUUUACAGAAGAGAAAGUGUAUUCGGCAUUGAAAGAUAUGGGGCCUACUAAAGCCCCAGGACCGGAUAGUUUUCCAGCACCAUUCUUUCAAAAAUACUGGCACAUAGUAGGUAAAGAUGUCACUAAUUUUUGUUUGGGAAUUUUAAAUAAAAGUCAAAAUUUUGGCUCUCUUGAUCAAACAGAUAUCGUGUUGAUCCCAAAAACUCAAAAUCCUACAAGUCUAAUCAAUUUUAAACCUAUCAGUUUGUGUUCAGUUCUUUGCAAAAUAGUGGCAAAGGCAAUAGCUAACAGAUUUCAAGGAGUAAUUGGUAGGUGUAUUAAUGAGGCACAAAGUGCUUUUAUACCGGGAAGGUUAAUAUCUAAUAAUGUGAUGGCCUAUGAGAUAUUACAUUCUAUUCAGCAAAAGCGAACAAGACUGAAGGGAUACAUGGCGGUUAAACUUGAUAUGAGCAAAGCAUAUGAUAGAGUUGAAUGGAGUUUUCUUCAGGAUAUCAUGUUGCAAAUGGGUUUAGCCAAUAAAUGGGUGGAAUUGAUUAUGAAGUGUAUUUCCACAACAUCUUUUGCGGUUAAUAUAAAUGGGAGUAGAGGAAGAACUUUUCAAUCAUCUCGAGGUCUACGUCAAGGAGAUCCACUAAGCCCUUUUCUUUUUCUUGUAUACAGUGAGGGCCUCUCAUCGUUGAUGAGAUUGGCAAUUAAAAAAGAUGUGGUAAAAGGUGCAAAGGCUAGUAGGAGAGGACCAGUAAUAUCACAUUUGCUUUUCGCAGAUGAUUGUAUAUUGUUUGGUGAGGCAUCAGAUAAGGGAGCGACAACACUAAAGGGUAUUCUGAAGGAGUACGAGAAAUGCUUAGGUCAAUGUGUAAAUUUCAAUAAAUCCACUAUUUUUUACAGUUCGAAUACUCCAAAAAGGAGGAAAGCUGAAGUCUCGACAAUAUUAGGGGUACGAAGCUCUACAAAUCUAGAGAAAUAUCUCGGUCUUCCCAAUGUGGUUAGUAGGAGGAAAAAAGAGUCAUUUCAAAACCUUAAAGAGAAAGUUCAUUCAAGAAUCCAUGGGUGGAGUACUAGAUUUUUAUCACAAGGAGGUAAGGAAGUUUUUAUAAAAUCAAUACUUCAGGCUAUCCCAACUUAUGCGAUGUCAUGUUUCCUUCUUUCAGCUUCUUUUUGUAAAGAAUUAGAAAGCAGUUUUGCUAAACUUUGGUGGCAGAAAGCAUAGGGCAAAAGAGGAAUUCAUUGGUGUCAAUGGAAAAAUUUGUGUCUUUCUAAAGAAGAGGGUGGAAUGGGAUUUCAAAGUAUGGCAAAAUUCAAUAUCGCUUUGCUUGCAAAACAAGGUUGACGAAUUCUAAACAAUCCAGAUUCUUUAGUAACACAAGUUCUCAAAGGAAAAUAUUUCCCGAAUGAUAGCUUUUUAAAGGUGCAGUUGAAGAAUAAUGUUUCAUACAUAUGGAAGAGUAUAUGGGUCGCUCGGAGUACUGUUGAAAUGGGAUUAUGUUGGAAGGUAGGUAGGGGCUCGAAUAUUUUAGUACUUAAUGAUGUGUGGGUACUAGAAUUGAAAAAUAUCAGAUUAACGUCUUUAGUUACUGAUAUGAGUGAUUUUAGAGUUGCUGAGCUGAUUGAUAUUAAUAGCAGAUCAUGGAAAAAAGAGCUGAUAGAAGUUACCUUUCCAGAGGAAGUAGUAGAGAAGAUCCUUCAGACAUCGUUGGUAAAAGAACCCCAUGAAGAUUUUCGAGCCUGAAGUGGUGAACCCUCGGGAAAGUUUACAGUGCGCAGUACCUAUAAACUAUUACAAAACAUAGAAGAAGAGCCUAGAGCUUACGCUUUACAAAACGACUACAAUAAAUUUUACAAAAAGCUAUGGAGUACAAAUAUUCCCUCAAAGAUAAAAAUUACAGUCUGGAAAAUUUCAAAAAUUUUCUUAGCUACAAGGGCCAAUAUGUAUCAACGGAGAGUUUUAAAUAUCAUAGAAUGCCCUCGAUAUGGACGAGGAUCAGAAAGUAUGGACCACCUAUUCGGAGAAUGUUCAAUUUCAGUAACAGCAUGUCAAGAAUUAUCAUAUCAGUAUGUGUUACAAUAACCGAACCUGGAGUUCGCACAGUGGCUCAUUUGGGUGUUUUUGCAGAGUUCUCCAUCUCAGAGUAAGGUUGUCUGCUGUGUAUUAUGGGCAAUUUGGGGUGACAGAAAUAACAGGAUUCACAAGAAGACCAACAAAACUGGAAACGAAAUAGCAUGUUUUGUACAAAGUUACAUCUCAGAGCUAAGUGCGAUAGAACAAAAAAAGACAGGAAAAUGCAAAGUUAUUAGUAAAUAGAAGCCUCCACCUGUAAAGGUCGUGAAGAUCAACUUCGAUGCAGCUUUUGAUGAAAGAUCUCGGCAAUUGUCAAGGGGAUUAGUAGCCAGGAACAGUAAGGGCAGGGUUCUGGUUUCGUGCUCGGAGAUCACGAGUGAGUUGCAUCGGCUUUUGCUGCUGAGGCUCUCACAUGUCGCACAGCAGUUCGACUCGGUAUUAACAUGCAAUAGACAUCAGUUAUCAUUGAGGGUGAUUCAUUAGCAAUAAUAAAGAAGUGCAAGUUGGAUAGUAUAGAUAAUUCACAGAUAGGGGCUUAUAUCUACGACAUUUAGAGGUCACUGUCAAUUUCCAAGAAUUUCAGAUUUGAGUUCAUCCCACGAACAGCAAAUGAACUAGCACAUAGUAUAGCCACUGAAUCAAUGAAGGAAAAGAAAGAGUUUUACCUGAUAGGAUGGGUUCCUAAAUUCGCUGAGAAACAUGCUGACAAAGAGAGGGUGCGAGAACUAGACUGAACACGAAGGUCAGAUGAAACCCUGGAGAGCGUUUGAAAUGGAAAUAAAAAGACAAGGAGAAUACAACUCUCUGUGGAAAUCUGGAUAGGGUUUUGCAGAAAGGAUGAGGAAAAUGUAAGAAUGAAGGCAAAAUGUGAAAUGGAGAGAAGAGAUUAGUAAUCAAUAGCUUCAGUGGAAGAGCUCUCCUUGGAAAUCUGGAAGAGUCAUGAAGAAGAAACGACAGACGAUUAGAUGGGACGGGCAACAGAUUGCUUUUUCUGAUUGGGCAAUGAAACGGUGGUUUUUUAAUUAGGUUUUAGAAUAUACUAUUAUGUUUUAGGAG
rnacentral:lncRNA from 1 species